UGGGGAAUAUUGCACAAUGGGGGAAACCCUGAUGCAGCGACGCCGCGUGAAGGAAGAAGUAUCUCGGUAUGUAAACUUCUAUCAGCAGGGAAGAUUAGUGACGGUACCUGACUAAGAAGCCCCGGCUAACUACGUCGCC
rnacentral:rRNA from 1 species